GAGGGAGUCGCGGUCGCCGCCGGGACCUGCAAAAGAAGUCUAAACCGGAGUUGGGGUUGCUCCGGCAAGACCCUCCGAUGCUCAAGUCAGUUCUCUGCCUCAACAAGAAUGGAGUGCUCGAACGAAAAUUUUAGCAGAGUUUUUGGGAUAGAAAGUAGAGCUUAGAGAAUAACGUAUCUGGGCCCCCCCUUUUUAUAGGCGGAGGGAGCAACGGAUUGAUAGCGACAUUUGUAACCGCCUAGUAGUGGGCCGCUUGGGGCCAGGAGGAGUUUAUUAUGAAGAGUAAUGGGGUGGAGUCGUGGCUGUCACCAUGGCUCGCCACGUGGAAUCUGUUGUGGAGAGUGGAGCAGCAUCCGUUGUCGUGACUCACCAGGGAGUGGUGGAGCCGCACAGUAUCCGCCGCAGGGAGUGGAGCAGAGUCGUGGCCAUUACUACGGCCUGCCACGUGGAGCCCAUUGCGGAGAGUGAUGGAGCCGUACAGAAUUCAUCGCAGGAGGUGGAGCAGAGUCAUGGCC
rnacentral:lncRNA from 1 species